rnacentral:tRNA from 1 species
GUCCCUGUAGCGCAAUGGAUAGUGCGUUGGACUUCUAAUCCAAAGGUCGUGGGUUCGAGUCCCACCUGGGAUA